rnacentral:rRNA from 1 species
UACGUAGGGUGCGAGCGUUACUCGGAAUUACUGGGCGUAAAGCGUGCGCAGGCGGUUUUGUAAGCCAGAUGUGAAAUCCCCGGGCUUAACCUGGGAAUGGCAUUUGGGACUGCAAGGCUUGAGUGCGGCAGAGGAGACUGGAAUUCCUGGUGUAGCAGUGAAAUGCGUAGAUAUCAGGAGGAACACCGAUGGCGAAGGCAGGUCUCUGGGCUGACGCUGACGCUCAUGCACGAAAGCGUGGGGAGCAAACAGG